rnacentral:lncRNA from 1 species
GAGUUAUUCAAAUCGCUAUCUUAGAUUAGGCUGAGACGGAAAAGAGACUAACAUUCUACGUCAGGUGUUUUUUUGUUUCUUUCUUCUUUAACGUCCCUCUAUCAUAGAACAGUGUCAGCAAGAGAAGAUAUGAAUAUUCAACGUAAGGUAUUGUUGAAAUAUUCCUCAAGGUUUCUCUAUCUUAAAACGAAAGACGAAAAAGCUAAAACAGUCUACGUGAGGUGUUAUUGAAUUAUUACUCAAGGUUUCGCUAUCUUAACAGUAUAGGACGAAAAAGCUAAAACAUUCUACGUGAGGUGUUAUUAAAAUCUUCCACUAUCAUAGAACAGCGUAAGACGGAGAAAAUAUUCAUACCUAUAGCCCGC